rnacentral:misc_RNA from 1 species
GAUGAAGAACGUAGCGAAACGCGAUAGUUAAUGUGAAUUGCAGAAUUCAGUGAAUCAUCGAGUCUUUGAACGCACAUUGCGCCCCCUGGUAUUCCGGGGGGCAUGCCUGUCCGAGCGUCAUUGCUGCCCUCAAGCACGGCUUGUGUGUUGGGCCCCGUCCUCCGAUCCCGGGGGACGGGCCCGAAAGGCAGCGGCGGCACCGCGUCCGGUCCUCGAGCGUAUGGGGCUUUGUCACCCGCUCUGUAGGCCCGGCCGGCGCUUGCCGAUCAACCCAAAUUUUUAUCCAGGUUGACCUCGGAUCAGGUAGGGAUACCCGCUGAACUUAAGCAUAUCAAUAAGCGGAGGA